AGGACGAACGCUGGCGGCGUGCUUAACACAUGCAAGUCGAGCGGUAAGGCCCUUCGGGGUACACGAGCGGCGAACGGGUGAGUAACACGUGAGCAAUCUGCCCUCCACAUCGGGAUAACCCCCGGAAACGGGAGCUAAUACCGGAUACGACCACUUCAGGCAUCUGAUGGUGGUGGAAAGUUCUGGCGGUGGAGGAUGAGCUCGCGGCCUAUCAGCUUGUUGGUGUGGGUAAUGGCCCACCAAGGCUUCGACGGGUAGCCGGCCUGAGAGGGUGACCGGCCACGACUGGGACUGAGACACGGCCCAGACUCCUACGGGAGGCAGCAGUGGGGAAUAUUGGACAAUGGGCGAAAGCCUGAUCCAGCAACGCCGCGUGAGGGAUGACGGCCUUCGGGUUGUAAACCUCUUUCAGCGCAGACGAAGCGAAAGUGACGGUAUGCGCAGAAGAAGCACCGGCCAACUACGUGCCAGCAGCCGC
rnacentral:rRNA from 1 species